CAACUGAAUACUCUCAUAAACAUGCUGUUAGGGGGACUCACCCCUGGUGAUCAUCAGGAUAUCAUGACAGUGUGCACGAUUGAUGGACACGUGAGGGACGUGGCAGCCACGCUUGGAGCAGAGAAGGGAUUGAACUGAAGACCUUGCACGGCAGGCGGUGGCCAGUACCACUAAGCUAAAUCCCCGGCCCCAAUGAAGCCACUCUUGUUAUUGAUGGCUGCCACUCACUCCCCACUGUGACGUCUGCCUCACUCCCGGCCCAAAG